CAGACUUUUCUCUUUCAGAUUUGCUAGACCCAUUCUCCAAGGAGGAAAGCUUUUCAGCAGCUGCUUUCUUUGCUUCUAGCUUCCUUUGCCGACAUGUCUUAACGGGCUCCGCCAACAUCCUUACUUUUCGGCGAAAGGAGAAUGUCUCUCAGAUAUUUGGACAGAUAACCACAGCUAGUGGGCACAUGGCCACAGUUUCCUCUGUGAGGCUCCAAACAUUGUCUGAUCAGAUUGCAUUCUUUGGAGGAUCUCUGAGCACUUCAGAAGAACUAAUGAAUUAUGCCUCACAGGACCCCAUAAGGUGGUAAGUAUUACUACUGUAUUUUGUAAAUGUGAAAGAACUGUGGAAUGUUGCUAAACAGAGGAAUUGCCAAGUCAGUCAAGUCUGUGACAAACAGCCUUUCCCUGUAGGAAAACCCCAUCCUUUCAGCUACAAGACAGGUACAGUUUAGACAUUUCAGCAGAUGAGCCAUUGGUGAAUGACUUUAAUUUGAUUGUGCAGGUGUGGGACACUUAGGAUGUAUCCUAUGAAUGUCACUGAAGUGCUGUAACAUAAAAAAUAGAUUGCAACUGAAGAAGGGAUGUGUAAUCUCUGUUAUUUGGUCUUGAAUAUUGUCUGUAGCUGACAGUAGAACAGCAGCUGGUUAGAUGGGUCUGCACAGUAACAAGGGGCUAGGAAGAUCUAGCUCUCUCUUUUGAACUGCUUACUUUUCUCUUUUGAACUCCUUACCAUACUGCCUCAUCUCCUAGCUGCAAGCAUUGGCAAUUUUCCAAGGAGGUGUGCACAAUAUUGUUUGACCCUCCCCUCCAUCCCCCCCAAAUUAGAGGUAUGAAAGUAGCAGGGGCUGUAAGUGCCUCUUCUCAGAGGUUGGGCUGAGUGAGGGGUCCUGCAAAGGGGUAGCUUCCAGCACCUGUAGUUUUUGGCUUUGGAGAGUGCCAGGUUCAGGCAGAUGUCCUUCCUGGUGGCACAGCUUCUGGUACCCCGCUAUUCCUGAGCUCUGGUGUCUCCCGUCAGAAGUCUUUUACCACAUACUUGUGGCUGUCAGCUCUCAAGCCAAGUUUCAGUACCUGUAUCUAUUGUUCCAUGAAGAUACGACUAGCCAUAUGGUAGUGCUGCUUCUACUCCCAUUUUAUUAGCUAAAUUUAAUUAACAGGCAAUUAUAUUAGCAAGAUAGACAAAUACAAUAACCUACUGUCAUGCUUCAUUGUAAAUAAUGGCUGAAGUAGCCACAGCAAUAUUACUUGACUCAGUGUGAAUGUGUUUGACAUAUGCCAUUGAGAAUGAGUUGAACAUGAUGUCGAAGACAAGCUGUGUAUUAACAUGGGGUCCCUGUUGUUCAAAAGCUCUGGAAAGCUGGCCAUAAUCAGUAACAGUAAAGUUCUGAAGAAUGAAAGGAUGGUCAUAACCAUUUAUAUACGAGUUAAUGCAAAACAGAAGAAAUGCAUAACCAAAUGCAGACAGGAGUUGAAGAAAAGCUGUAACUUAGUUCCAGAAAUUCUGUACUAAAGGCCUAGACUUUAACAGGGGUAAAUGAGACCCAUUUCUAAGACACAGUUGAGAAAUCUGUGUGUGAAACAGAAAGAAUAUGUAAGUGAAAGAUGUCAAAUGGUGUUUGGCUGUAGUGGAUGCAGCAUGAAUGCAGUGAAAAUGUUAACCUAAUUCUGUUGCAAAUCUGAAACAAAACUUUGCUCUUACCACCUAAAAUUUCUUUUAAGCUUUGCUGAGGUGCAGUUGUGGAACCACAGAAUGAAAGAAAACUAUAAUUCUAAUAGUUGAACAUGUCCUUUUGUCACCAGUGUUGUACAACACCAGAUACUGGAGGAGGAAAGAAAUCAACUGCUUUACAGCCCUUCAUGUUAAAAAAAGAAAAAGGUGGGAAGUAAUAAAAAUGUGGGUUUUCUAAUAAAUCAGCUAUACUAAGCUGUAGGGUUCUGCCCUUUUAAAGUAAAAGGAAGCAAGAGCUUGUCAGUGGCAAAAAUACUACCUUGUGGGAUUUUAAUAGAAUUGUAAGCCCCAUUGCCCUACCUUUAGGAUGAUGUGGUGAAAAUGCAAGGUGUUACUCACAGUUCUGCUUGGUUUCGUUCAGUAUCUUGAGUUGCCUUUUGUCAUCAGUGGGGUGCAAUUCCUGUGGAGUGAAACAAUGCAUACAGCAUGGACUAAAGUGCCUCAAAACAGCUGUGUCCUGCCUUAGGCAGUACCUCAGUGGUUAACAGGACUAAGGAAUGUCCACACUAACAACAGUGAACACAGCCAGCUUAGGUAGGGAUCAAGACCAAAGGUUAUUUUUAGAUAAGAGAAAGGAGAAGGUGAAAAUACACAGGCAUGCAGACAUACAGCGUUACAAGCAGAUUUAGGGCCUUGGCACAAAGCCCUCUGCUGUUACUUUGCAAGGAAGGUUGCAACCUGAAACAUACCUAACUAAAAUACUGCUUCAAGUUUCCUUUAACUUUACAGAGGCUCUGGUCUACUGGGGAAGACUUGUCAGAGCAGAAGGGAAGGGUAGUAAC